CAAUCGGCCCUUUUCAGGGCCAACAAACGUGUUUUAAAGAGCUAUUU
rfam:Aedes aegypti strain Liverpool supercont1.10 genomic scaffold, whole genome shotgun sequence.